rnacentral:tRNA from 1 species
GAGGGUGUAGUUCAAGCGGUAGAGCACAUGCUUAGCGUGCACGAGGUCCUGGGUUCAGUCCCCAGCACCUCCU